rnacentral:tRNA from 1 species
GCCUGGGUGGCUCAGUCAUUUAAGCAUCUGACUUCAGCUCAGGUCAUGAUCUCACCGUUCGUGAGUUUGAGCCCCACAUCAGGCU